AUUGAACGCUGGCGGCAGGCCCAACACAUGCAAGUCGAGUGGAUGAAGAGAGCUUGCUCUCUGAUUCAGCGGCGGACGGGUGAGUAAUGCCUAGGAAUCUGCCUGGUAGUGGGGGACAACGUUUCGAAAGGAACGCUAAUACCGCAUACGUCCUACGGGAGAAAGUGGGGGAUCUUCGGACCUCACGCUAUCAGAUGAGCCUAGGUACGAUUAGCUAGUUGGUGAGGUAAAGGCUCACCAAGGCGACGAUCGUUAACUGGUCUGAGAGGAUGAUCAGUCACACUGGAACUGGGACACGGUCCAGACUCCUACGGGAGGCAGCAGUGGGGAAUAUUGGACAAUGGGCGAAAGCCUGAUCCAGCCAUGCCGCGUGUGUGAAGAAGGUCUUCGGAUUGUAAAGCACUUUAAGUUGGGAGGAAGGGCAGUAAGUUAAUACCUUGCUGUUUUGACGUUACCGACAGAAUAAGCACCGGCUAACUUCGUGCCAGCCGCCGCGGUAAUAC
rnacentral:rRNA from 1 species